rnacentral:rRNA from 1 species
GAUGAACGCUAGCUACAGGCUUAACACAUGCAAGUCGAGGGGCAGCAUGAUUGAAGCUUGCUUCAAUCGAUGGCGACCGGCGCACGGGUGAGUAACACGUAUCCAACCUGCCGAUAACUCGGGGAUAGCCUUUCGAAAGAAAGAUUAAUACCCGAUAGUAUAGUAUUUCCGCAUGGUUUCACUAUUAAAGAACUUCGGUUAUCGAUGGGGAUGCGUUCCAUUUGAUAGUUGGCGGGGUAACGGCCCACCAAGUCAACGAUGGAUAGGGGUUCUGAGAGGAAGGUCCCCCACAUUGGAACUGAGACACGGUCCAAACUCCUACGGGAGGCAGCAGUGAGGAAGAUUGGUCAAUGGACGAGAGUCUGAACCAGCCAAGUAGCGUGAAGGAUGACUGCCCUAUGGGUUGUAAACUUCUUUUAUACGGGAAUAAAGUGGAGUAGGCAUACUCCUUUGUAUGUACCGUAUGAAUAAGGAUCGGCUAACUCCGUG